UACGUAGGGUGCGAGCGUUGUCCGGAUUUAUUGGGCGUAAAGGGCUCGUAGGCGGCCUGUCGCGUCGGGAGUGAAAGCCCACUGCUUAACGGUGGGUCUGCUUCCGGUACGGGCGGGCUAGAGUAUGGCAGGGGAGACUGGAAUUCCUGGUGUAGCGGUGAAAUGCGCAGAUAUCAGGAGGAACACCGGUGGCGAAGGCGGGUCUCUGGGCCGAUAUUGACGCUGAGGAGCGAAAGCGUGGGGAGCGAACAGG
rnacentral:rRNA from 1 species